rnacentral:RNase_P_RNA from 1 species
AGUCCUGAAAUGGCUGUAGUGUUGAUGCAGACACAUAAAAAAUAAAGUCUGACGCUUGAAAAAGUGAUGGCGAGGAUAAGGCUAAGGGAAACUACUACCUUAUUCUUGUAAAGUGCCACAGAGACGAGCUAUAUGGAAACAUAUAGGUGAAACGCGGUAAACCCCUUCAGGA